UUGAUCCUGGCUCAGAAUCAACGCUGGCGGCGUGCCUAACACAUGCAAGUCGAACGCGAAAGCCCCGCAAGGGGUAAGUAGAGUGGCAAACGGGUGAGUUACACGUGGGUGACCUGCCUUCGAGUGGGGGAUAACGUCCCGAAAGGGACUCUAAUACCGCAUGACAUCCUGCCUUUGAACAGGUGGAGAUCAAAGCUGGUGAUCGCAAGACCUAGCGCUCAAAGAGGGGCCCGCGCCUGAUUAGCUAGUUGGUGGGGUAAUGGCUCACCAAGGCGACGAUCAGUAUCCGGCCUGAGAGGUCGGACGGACACACUGGGACUGAGACACGGCCCAGACUCCUACGGGAGGCUGCAGUGGGGAAUUGUUCGCAAUGGGCGCAAGCCUGACGACGCAACGCCGUGUGGAGGAUGAAGAUCUUCGGGUCGUAAACUCCUUUCGAUCGAGACGAAUGAUCUCCGGGUGAACAAUCCGGAGGAAUGACGGUACCGAGAGAAGAAGCUCCGGCUAACUCCGUGCCAGCAGCCGCGGUAAUAAGGU
rnacentral:rRNA from 1 species